CAGCAGCCGCGGUAAUACAGAGGAUGCAAGCGUUAUCCGGAAUGAUUGGGCGUAAAGCGCGCGCAGGCGGAUCAGUCAGUCUGUCUUAAAAGUUCGGGGCUUAACCCCGUGAUGGGAUGGAAACUGCUGAUCUAGAGUAUCGGAGAGGAAAGUGGAAUUCCUAGUGUAGCGGUGAAAUGCGUAGAUAUUAGGAAGAACACCAGUGGCGAAGGCGACUUUCUGGACGAAAACUGACGCUGAGGCGCGAAAGCCAGGGGAGCGAACGGGAUUAGAUACCCGAGUAGUCCCUGUCUCUUAUACA
rnacentral:rRNA from 1 species